rnacentral:rRNA from 1 species
AUUGAACGCUGGCGGCAGGCCUACCACAUGCAAGUCGACCGAGUGGCGGACGGGUGAGUUAUGUCUGGGAAACUGCCCGAUGGAGGGGGAUAACUACUGGAACCGGUAGCUAAUACCGCCUACCAUCGGAUGUGCCCAUAUGGGAGAGCGAGUAGGUGGGGUAACGGCUCACGCAGGCGACGAUCCCUAGCGGGUCUGAGAGGAGGACCAGCCACACUGGAACUGAGACACGGUCCAGACUCCUACGGGAGGCAGCAGUGGGGAAUAUUGCACAAUGGGCGCAAGCCUGAUACAGCCAUGCCGCGUGUAUGAAGAAGGCCGUCGGGUUGUAAAGUACUUUCAGCGAGGAGGCGUUACUCGCAGAAGAAGCACCGGCUAACUCCGUGCCAGCCGCCGCGGUAAUUC